rnacentral:rRNA from 1 species
UACGUAGGGGGCAAGCGUUGUCCGGAAUCAUUGGGCGUAAAGAGCGUGUAGGCGGCCCGAUAAGUCCGCCGUGAAAGUCCAGGGCUCAACCCUGGAAUGCCGGUGGAAACUGUCGGGCUCGAGUCCGGAAGAGGCGAGUGGAAUUCCUGGUGUAGCGGUGAAAUGCGCAGAUAUCAGGAGGAACACCAAUGGCGAAGGCAGCUCGCUGGGACGGUACUGACGCUGAGACGCGAAAGCGUGGGGAGCGAACAGG